rnacentral:rRNA from 1 species
UACGGGGGGGGCAAGCGUUGUUCGGAAUUACUGGGCGUAAAGGGCUUGUAGGUGGCCAACUAAGUCAGACGUGAAAUCCCUCGGCCUUAACCGGGGAACUGCGUCUGAUACUGGAUGGCUUGAGUGUGGGAGAGGGGAUGCGGAAUUCCAGGUGUAGCGGUGAAAUGCGUAGAUAUCUGGAGGAACACCUGUGGCGGAAAAGCGGCUCACUGGACCAUAACUGACGCUGAUGGCACGAAAGCUGGGGGAGCAAACAGG